rnacentral:rRNA from 1 species
GUUACUUAUAUUAAGGGCAGAUGGUGGAUGCCUUGGGACCGGUAGGCGAUAAAGGACGUGGCGUGACUGCGAUAAGCUUCGGGGAGGUGUCUAGCAACCUUUGAUCCGGAGAUGUCCAAUGGGGCAACCCAUCCCGAUGAUAAAUCGGGAUAUCCCACUAAAAUCAUAUUUGAGUGGGAGGCGAAACCUGGGGAAGCGAAACAUCACAGUACCCAGAGGAAAAGAAAACAAUUGUUUAUUCCCCUAGUAGCGGCGAGCGAAAAGGGAAAUAGCCCAGAGUCCCUCGGCCGCAAGGCCUCGGGACAGUUAUAAGAGGGAGGCGUUCCAAAUUUUUUUGGAGGAAGUUACAAAAUUGAUGGUUAGGCAAAAUUUCCUGGAAAGGAAUACCAAAGGAGGUAAUAGUCCUGUAGCCGAAAACUAUUCAAUCUUCUAGUCUCUUAUCUUGAGUACCUCGGAAAACGACAGCUCUGAGGGAAUUAGGCCGAACUAUAUGGCCAAGGCUAAAUACUAACCGGUCACCGAUAGUGAACUAGUACCGUGAGGGAAAGGUUAAAAGCAGCCCGUUGAGGGCGGUGAAAUAGAACCUGAAACCAUUUUGCCCACAAAGACUCCGAGUCCUUCGAGCGCAAGCUCUCAGGAUGAGGGGGUGCUUUUUGCAGAACGAACCAACGAGUUCGCUUUUCAAUUUCGUCUAAUCCCGUCUCGGGAGGAGGCAUAGCGAAAGCGAGCGUAAAAUGCGCGCAAUUAGAAUUGGAAAGCGAGACCCGAAGCCAGGCGAGCUUACCACGACCAGGUUGAGUGAAGGAGAAAUCCUUCAGGAGGACCGAACUCGUAGACCGUGCAAUAUCUUGAGAUGAGUUGUGGUAAGAAGCGAAAAACUAAACGAGCUUGGUAAUAGCUGGUUCUCCCCGAAAUAGUUUUAGGACUAGCAGCAUGUUUUCGCUUUCAGAGGUAGAGCACUAGAAAGAGUAUCUUGGCGAAAGCCAGAUAUUUUUACUAAACUCCGAAUACUGAAAGAUUAUACAUGCUAGUAAGAAUCCGGGCGCUAAGGUCCGGACUCAAAAGGGAAAAAGCCCAUGAUCUUCGUCUAAGGUCCCCAAAUUUGGACUAAGUGUUAAUAAGGAAGUGAAGUUCCUUUGAUAGUUAGGAGGUUAGCUCAGAAGCAGCUAUCCUUUAAAAAGUGCGUAACAGCUUACUAACUGAGGAAUUUUGCGCCAAAGAUACCCGGGACUAAGUCCAAUACCGAAGACAAGAAUUGGCAUUUUGUUUACAAAGUGCCAGUGGUAGGGGAGCGUCCCUAACGCAGUGAAGCUUACGACGUAAGUCGGGGUGGAGCGUUAGGGAGUGAGAAUGUUGGUAUGAGUAACCGCAAUACAGGUGAAAGCCCUGUACACCGAAAGCCCGAGGUUUCCUUGGCAAGGGUGAUCCGCCAAGGGUUAGGCGAACCUUAGUCCACGACCGUUAGGUCGGGAUGACGGACAGCCGGUUAAUAUUCCGGCCCGGCCGCAAAAUAAUCUUGAAGUGACGCAGUCAAAAUUUUUGGGAGGAUUAUUGG